rnacentral:rRNA from 1 species
AUGAAAGGCGGUAGGAAGAACCUGCGGCGCGCGUGCGAGGAGGGCACCGCGGUGACGCUGGCGGAGGGCGAGAGCAUCAUGCAGGUCGUCACGCUGCGCGGCUCCAACCUCAUCGAGGUGACGGACGGCGAGGGCGUCAAGUCUCUCGCCCUAUUCCCCGCCAAGUUCCAGACGAGCUUCUGGAUCAAGAACGGGAAUUUCGUGGUUGUGGAUGCUAGUGGGAGGGACGAGGCUCUCGAAUCUGGAAGUAGGAGCCGGCUAUCUUCAAGUCGACACCCAAUGGGUGGGCGACAGGGCCAGAGGGAACGACAUCGCAGGCUGAGGAAGAGCACAACUCCGAAGAAGAAGACGACGAUGAUGAUAUGCCGCCACUUGAGGCAAACACGAACGGAAAUAAUACCGUUUGACGUGCAUUCCGAUACAGAAAGUGACUCUGAUUCUUGA